AGGGUGACAUAUUUGCAGGUAAAAAUAAAUGCACCCACUCUGGAAGCUAUCUGUCUAGAAUAAAUAGAAGUAUUUUCACCUAAUAUUUAAGAUAUUUAUUUUUAUGAAAGGGUUGUUUUAUGCUGUUAAUAGAUUGUGAAUUGACUUCUGUAACAUGAGAACUGACUUAUGUAAUGUUUGUUCAUUUAUGAACAAAGUUCGCCUUAACCAGACAUGUUUUUCCACGGGAAAAACAAGCCCACACCAUCUUGUUUGCACCUGAAAUCUCCCACUUAAUUUUACUAAGUCAGCUGUACUAUGGUAAAUCCAUUGGCUGAAUUUCCUUCAAAUCAUACAAACCUGACCAAAUCAGGUAUCUUCUUUAACUUUUAUUUCUGUACCUCUUUUAGCUAUAAAGUAUGAAACUCUGCCAAUCUCAGUGAAUGUGUGCUUGAAGCCUAGUAAAUGGCUCCAUAUUAUUUCAUUGUAUAAUUGAAGCAUUACAGCAGGAGGACCGCCACAGGUUUGAAGCCAGUCUGGGCUACAUAGUGAAUUCAGGGCCAGCCAAAAUACAUAGGAAGACCCUGUCUCCAAAAAAAAAGAAAAGUAUAUUACGUGAGAAUUCAAACAUACCUGCACAUGGAGCAAAAUUCAGAAUUCUGUGAAGGGAGCUGGUAUAACAGCCUGUGUCAUCAGUGCUGGAGCGCGCAGAUUCUAACUCUGGCAGAACACUGCCCUUCCAAACACAAACUCUUUAAUCGAGGACCGUAAUUACUCCUAACAGAGAAGAUAGGAUACUUCUUUCUCAGAUUACAGGUUUGAGAAAUACCUGACAAAAUAUCCAGUACUCUAAAAGUUUUUUUUUCUUUCCACAGUUCUUUUUUUUUUUUUUUUUUUGUACUGGGGAUCAAACUCGGGUCCUUGCACUUGUGGGGCAGGCAGCAGAACCACUGAGCUAAAUCCCCGGCCCUCUCUUUCUACAGUUCUUAAUCCAGCUUUAGAUGGUUUAAACAGUAGUUAAGUGUACUUGGCAGACAGUUUAUUCUCUCCUGGUUCACUGCUCCUCAAUUUCAGUGUGUGAGAUUGAGUAAAUUGCUUAUUCCAGACAAAUUUGCUUUUCUGGGAAGAUGUGUUUAGGAGGAAGACCCGUGGUCUACAGGAAGACAGAAUGAGGGACAAGCGGCUCCUGAAGAAGCUGGUUUCUGGCCUGUGCAAACCACUUCCUAUCUCAGUCAGGACAAGGGGUUGGCUGGAAGCUUCCAGAAUACCCUUAGCCCUGAAAUGGCCUGAUCCAGUUUUCAGUGGGGGAACUGAAAACUUUUUCCCCUAAAACACUUAACACUUAACAAAGGUUUGCAUUCUCGGGAUUGUCAAAGAGUAACAUGUCGAAAAAAGUCUUAUUCCCAUAAAGUAUCUUUAAACCUACUGUACAGUUACAGGUCAUUCUGAGUCUGAGAUGGACAUAGUUUAAGAGGCACAGGUGGAGGAGUAAAACCACUAGCUCCAGUGCAAGCCCUAAGCAUAGAUCACUGCCUGUGAAAAGUAAAGAUUCUUUCCAAUGUCCUGGUCUUCUCUGUGGAUUUUGUAUCAGUCGUUUUCAUACAGAAAUAAACCUCUUUACUUAUUCCAGGCCAGCUUAGGGCCUGGAAACAAAAGGCUCUCCUCAUGGUUGUGGAGAAGGGUUAUCAGGUUGGGAGAAGCCACCUUCACUACCUGCCUGCAUUUCUCUGCCUAGGUGUAAAAGAUGUCUGAUCUCAGUACAAAGAUCAUAAUCAGCAUGGGCUUCAGCUUAGUGAUUGCUGCAGUUUUUCUGACAGCUAUUGUCACCAGUAUUUUCUUCUAUGUCUCCAAAGCGCUAAAGUGAGUCAUGCAGAGCUGCAAAAGAACCUGAUCCUGAGGCUAACUCAGCCAACAACACCAAGGAUAGGGUCAUCCCGGCUGAAACUGCUGCCACUGAGUCUUUUCUCAUCCUUCAGUCUUGUGAUGAAUGUAAAAUGUAUGCAGAUCCCCUGCCACCUUGCUUUUGUGACAUAAAUUAGGGGCUCUAAUGUGGAGUUGGUGGACACAAAAAUCUUCAUAAACAGUAUUUCUUUCUUAGUAGAGUGUUAUUCAAGUCAAGUUCGAAAGCAUUUAUAUUUUCUAAUGUACUC
ensembl:lncRNA